rnacentral:lncRNA from 1 species
CCUGGAGUCACUGGGCACCCCAGUCCAGCGACGGCUGCCUGACAGUCACUUGGCUGGAGAGCGUCAGCAGCGAUCAUGCUGUGCUGCUUUCCCAGGCCUCGAGGCCGCAGCACCAGGAGCCCGUGCAGGGAAAGCACUUGGGCGCGAGUGAGAGGUUGGAUGGCUAAGUCCCCGUGCUUCAGGCCACUCACCAGGAACUACCUGGCCUUCAGGGGCAGCACAGGGCGGGUCUCCCCAGACCCAGAGACCUGGGAAUCUGAGACGAGCGGGAGCCCAGGGCAGAUCUCCCUGGACCUGGACACCAGACUCUCGGGGCCACCGAGUCCAGGACAGGUCCAGUCAGGCCCGGCCACCACUGACCAGCUCCAGCCCCAGCUGAAGUCCCAUGUGUGGAGCCCGAGCCAGCUCCACCUGCAGCUUCCUGCCCAGCGGUGGGACCACAGCCAGAGUCCGUGGCAGCCCCUUCACCUGCUGCAGUGCUGGGGCACCUGGUGGUUGCACGGUGGUCGGUGUCACCUCCUGAGCUCCUCCUGGGGCCAGCUCCCGGGCCCCUCCCACUGUUCCCCUCAC